rnacentral:rRNA from 1 species
AGUGAACGCUGGCGGCAGGCCUAACACAUGCAAGUCGAACGGCAGCACAGUGGAGCUUGCUCCAUGGGUGGCGAGUGGCGGACGGGUGAGGAAUACAUCGGAAUCUGCCCAGUCGUGGGGGAUAACAUAGGGAAACUUAUGCUAAUACCGCAUACGACCUACGGGUGAAAGCGGGGGAUCGCAAGACCUCGCGCGAUCGGAUGAGCCGAUGUCCGAUUAGCUAGUUGGCGGGGUAAUGGCCCACCAAGGCGACGAUCGGUAGCUGGUCUGAGGGGAUGAUCAGCCAAACUGGAACUGAGACACGGUCCAGACUCCUACGGGAGGCAGCAGUGGGGAAUAUUGGACAAUGGGCGCAAGCCUGAUCCAGCCAUGCCGCGUGGGUGAAGAAGGCCUUCGGGUUGUAAAGCCCUUUUGUCCGGAAAGAAAAGCCUCGGAUUAAUACCCUGGGGUGAUGACGGUACCGGAAGAAUAAGCACCGGCUAACUUCGUGCCAGCCGCCGCGGUAAUAC